rnacentral:rRNA from 1 species
ACUUAUAUUCUGUAGCAAGGUUAACCGUAUAGGGGAGCCGUAGGGAAACCGAGUCUUAACCGGGCGUUAAGUUGCAGGGUAUAGACCCGAAACCCGGUGAUCUAGCCAUGGGCAGGUUGAAGGUUGGGUAACACUAACUGGAGGACCGAACCGACUAAUGUUGAAAAAUUAGCGGAUGACCUGUGGCUGGGGGUGAAAGGCCAAUCAAACCGGGAGAUAGCUGGUUCUCCCCGAAAGCUAUUUAGGUAGCGCCUCGUGAAUUCAUCUCCGGGGGUAGAGCACUGUUUCGGCUAGGGGGCCAUCCCGGCUUACCAACCCGAUGCAAACUGCGAAUACCGGAGAAUGUUAUCACGGGAGACACACGGCGGGUGCUAACGUCCGUCGUGAAGAGGGAAACAACCCAGACCGCCAGCUAAGGUCCCAAAGUCAUGGUUAAGUGGGAAACGAUGUGGGAAGGCCCAGACAGCCAGGAUGUUGGCUUAGAAGCAGCCAUCAUUUAAAGAAAGCGUAAUAGCUCACUGGUCGAGUCGGCCUGCGCGGAAGAUGUAACGGGGCUAAACCAUGCACCGAAGCUGCGGCAGCGAACGUAUCACCCAAGACAACUUUACGGAGUUGACGAUUGACGGAGCGAAGCGACGUCAAAGCGUUCAUUAAAGUCGAGUUGGCUUAGGGAUACGUUCGUUGGGUAGGGGAGCGUUCUGUAAGCCUGUGAAGGUGUGUCGUGAGGCAUGCUGGAGGUAUCAGAAGUGCGAAUGCUGACAUAAGUAACGAUAAAGCGGGUGAAAAGCCCGCUCGCCGGAAGACCAAGGGUUCCUGUCCAACGUUAAUCGGGGCAGGGUGAGUCGACCCCUAAGGCGAGGCCGAAAGGCGUAGUCGAUGGGAAACGGGUUAAUAUUCCCGUACUUGGUGUUACUGCGAAGGGGGGACGGAGAAGGCUAUGUUGGCCGGGCGACGGUUGUCCCGGUUUAAGCGUGUAGGUGUGUGUUCCAGGUAAAUCCGGUUCACUUUAACACUGAGGCGUGACGACGAGGCACUACGGUGCUGAAGCAACAAAUGCCCUGCUUCCAGGAAAAGCCUCUAAGCAUCAGGUAACACGAAAUCGUACCCCAAACCGACACAGGUGGUCAGGUAGAGAAUACCAAGGCGCUUGAGAGAACUCGGGUGAAGGAACUAGGCAAAAUGGUGCCGUAACUUCGGGAGAAGGCACGCUGACACGUAGGUGAAGUGAUUUACUCAUGGAGCUGAAGUCAGUCGAAGAUACCAGCUGGCUGCAACUGUUUAUUAAAAACACAGCACUGUGCAAACACGAAAGUGGACGUAUACGGUGUGACGCCUGCCCGGUGCCGGAA